CCUCACCCGUCCUUCUUUUCUCCAGGACAGAUCUCUGACAGACCCUCCCUCUCAGUGCAGCCGGGCCCCACGGUGACCUCAGGAGAGAAGGUGACCCUGCUGUGUCAGUCAUGGGACCCGAUGUUCACUUUCCUUCUGACCAAGGAGGGGGCAGCCCAUCCCCCGUUGCGUCUGAGAUCAAUGUACGGAGCUCAUAAGUACCAGGCUGAAUUCCCCAUGAGUCCUGUGACCUCAGCCCACGCGGGGACCUACAGGUGCUACGGCUCACGCAGCUCCAACCCCUACCUGCUGUCUCACCCCAGUGAGCCCCUGGAGCUCGUGGUCUCAGGAGCAACUGAGACCCUCAAUCCAGCACAAAAGAAGUCAGAUUCCAAGACUGGACCCUCCAGGGGCCCCAGCCCUCCACCCAUAGGCUCCUUCUCCAUACCUGACUCUCAGCAACACCCUAGUGGACAGUCCCAAGCUCUGUUUCCUGUGGGCCCCAAGACCCUCAGCCACAGAUGGAUGUUCAGAUGUCAUGGCAAUAACAGGAACACCCUUCAGGUGUGGUCGGAACUCAACGACUCCCUGAAGCUCCUGUUCUCAGAUGGUAUAUGUGUCUCCCGUAUAUGUGUCUCCCUCAUGAUCUGCACCAGCAGCUCCAUGGUCCUCGUCCUGCAUAGAUACAAGCAGAGAGUCCAACAUGUUCGCAGCCGCAACCUCUCCCGCAGAACAUCUCAUGAAACCACAACCACACACACCAUCCUCAUCCUGGCACCAUGGUCUCAUCCAUCUGCACAGCUGCAGCCAGUGGGAGGAGACGCCGUGAGCCCUGCCCUCAUGGUUCUGCUCUGCCUCGGGUUAGAAAGCCAAGAGGGGCAGCUGCAGGUACAUGUAAUCAUAUCCAUCAGUGCUGGGGUCUGAGGUUCGUGAGACGAAGCCACAAUAUUAUGAGAAAGCAAAGAUGUGUAAAAACCCCACUGUUUAGAAUCUCCUCUCUCUCACAUGUCACACGAAGCGUUUCAGAUUUUCUACUAAAAACCAUGCAGCUUUACAAGACUCCCAGGCCCCUACCCUAUCCUGCGGGAUGAGUGAUGAAAUGUGUACAUUUAGUCUAAUUUAAAAAAUUCUUCAACUACUUUAAUUAUUCUUAAGUGAAGUAUUUGAUUCAUGUAUAUUUCUUUUGUUUGUUUGUUUGUUUUUGUUUUUGAGAUGGAGUCUUGCUCUGUCGCCCAGCCUGGAGUGCAGUGGCGCGAUCUCGGCUCACUGCAAGCUCCACCUCCUGGGUUCACGCCAUUGUCCUGCCUCAGCCUCCCGAGUAGCUGGGACUACAGGCACCCACCACCAUGCCGGGCUAAUUUUUUUGUAUUUUUAGUAGAGAUGGGGUUUCACUGUGUUAGCCAGGAUGGUCUCGAUCUCCUGACCUCGUGAUCCACCCACCUAGGCCUCCCAAAGUGCUGGGAUUACAGGCGUGAGCCACCAUGCCCAGCCUGAUUCAUUUAUAUUUCUAAGUAAGAUAUACACAUGAGAAAGCUUUUAGUUUGAGUAUAUUCAUUUAAUUUCAUUUUAGCUUGCUAUAACAUUUUUCCCUUUCAAUUAUCUUUCAACUGAUCUCCCCAAAUUUACUGAUAAAAUUUAUAUUAACUAUAAGAAAAUUGAAAUUUUAUUUUUUAUUUCUAAACCGCAUAUCAAUUUUUGUCACUUCAAGUAUUAAUAUGCAUGUAACUGCAUCUUAAAUAAAUAUCUAAAGUUUUACAUA
ensembl:lncRNA novel transcript